rnacentral:rRNA from 1 species
CAAGUCGAGCGGAAUGACGAGAGCUUGCUCUCUGAUUUUAGCGGCGGACGGGUGAGUAACACGUGGGCAACCUGCCCUACAGAUGGGGAUAACUCCGGGAAACCGGGGCUAAUACCGAAUAAUCAGUUUGUCCGCAUGGACAAACUCUGAAAGACGGUUUCGGCUGUCACUGUAGGAUGGGCCCGCGGCGCAUUAGCUAGUUGGUGGGGUAAUGGCCUACCAAGGCAACGAUGCGUAGCCGACCUGAGAGGGUGAUCGGCCACACUGGGACUGAGACACGGCCCAGACUCCUACGGGAGGCAGCAGUAGGGAAUCUUCCACAAUGGACGAAAGUCUGAUGGAGCAAUGCCGCGUGAGCGAAGAAGGUUUUCGGAUCGUAAAGCUCUGUUGUAAGGGAAGAACACGUACGGGAGUAACUGCCGUGCCAUGACGGUACCUUAUUAGAAAGCCACGGCUAACUACGUGCCAGCAGCCGCGGUAAUACGUAGGUGGCAAGCGUUGUCCGGAAUUAUUGGGCGUAAAGCGCGCGCAGGCGGUCUUUAAGUCUGAUGUGAAAGCCCACGGUUAACCGUGGAGGGUCAUUGGAAACUGGAGAACUUGAGUACAGAAGAAGAAAGCGGA